UUUCACUGAAAGUUGUAGAAACCCAUGGGAUUCUCGCUGACUUGAAUGAGUGAAAGUGGAAUGUUCAGAAGUACAGUGAGCUUCAGCUAUGGUUAGAUUUGAGGCCUGAACAAUAUAAUGAGGAUAUAUUGCAACACUAGGCAGAUGACCACAUGCUCCCAGAUGCAGAAUCCUCCAACAAAAAGGAAUCAUCUUCCCAGGAAGUUCUCCAGAAAAGACCAAGGGAAACUCACUGACCUGGCUUGAGUUGAUGGCUUGCCACAACCAAUCAGACCUUAAUAUUGAUGGCUUCAAGGAAGAGGAAAACAGGUUACACACAACAAGGGCAGCUGCACAUAAAAUAUGUGUAGUAGAUUCCUCAUGAAUGAAUUUCUGGUAGUAAAAGAAAGUGGGAAAAUACAGGACAGGAAGGGAGAAGAUGUUCCUGCCAUCAUUCCCAUCAGGGCAUGCAGCUGAAGGAAUACUGUCCCUGGCUCUAUUUUUUGGAUAAUGAAGACACCUAAUUCCUAAAUGAGGGGAAAACAGACAUGAAGAAACUGGAGCAGAGAGAAAGAAAAGGACACGUUGAAGGUCAGGAAGGCAGCUGAACUAAAAGCCCAGCAGCUCAUCUCACACAGCCCGUCGUCGCCAUUACACGGCUUGAAGAGGAAGCUGUUGGCUGUUCUAGGCCCUUUAAAGGAUUUUCUUCAUAAAUCUGAUUGGAUUCUCUCCUUCCCAAGUACGGAAAAGAUUCAUCUAAGGACUCUGAUGUUUCUUCAAUAAAUCCAGGCUCCUCCAUUGACUCGAAUCUAGAGACUCCUCCAGGCUCCAAGUUAUUCUCACCUUCAGACAUUGUCUUGACUGGCAGCUCUUCCACCAACUUCAAGACUAUAACUCUACUUUUUUAUGUGCUUUUUUCCUAUGAACCUACAAGACAGAUGUUGAUAUUAAAAUAAGCGUAAUAAAGAUGUUGAAAUUA